UGGGAAAUUAAGACUCAUCACAAAGGGCUA
rnacentral:piRNA from 1 species